ACGCGAGAAAGGAGGUGGUCCACAAAGUGAGCUCUUUGCGGACACGCGAGGUGUUCGCCCGCUAGGGCGACCCCACGGAUCGCGCUAGCGAAUCCACGGUGGACACCCGGACCCUCGGGUGGCCAGCCUUGUCCGACUGGCCCCAGCCUGCGCUGGAGAAACCCGAGGGUCCGCCCCAG
rfam:Thermobifida fusca YX, complete genome.